GUGCAUGUGGUGGAUGCCUUGGCGAUUACAGGCGACGAAGGACGUGCAAGCCUGCGAAAAGCUCUGGGGAGCUGGCAAUGAAGCUUUGAUCCAGAGAUGUCCGAAUGGGGAAACCCACUCCGUAAGGAGUAUCCCAUCCUGAAUACAUAUGGAUGUGGAAGCGAACCCGGCGAACUGAAACAUCUAAGUAGCCGGAGGAAAAGAAAUCAACCGAGAUUCCCAAAGUAGUGGCGAGCGAAAUGGGACCAGCCUGCAAGUGAUAGCACAAUAGUUAGCGGAAGCUUCUGGAAAGUUGCGCCGUAGUGGGUGAUAGCCCCGUACGCGAAAACUAAGGUGUGGUACUAAGCUUGCGACAAGUAGGGCGGGGCACGAGAAACCCUGUCUGAACAUGGGGGGAUCGAUCCUCCAAGGCUAAAUACUCGUAAUCGACCGAUAGUGAACCAGUACCGU
rnacentral:rRNA from 1 species